GAUGAAGAACGCAGCAAAAUGCGAUAAGUAAUGUGAAUUGCAGAAUUCAGUGAAUCAUCGAAUCUUUGAACGCACAUUGCGCCCGCUGGUAUUCCGGCGGGCAUGCCUGUUCGAGCGUCAUUUCAACCCUCAAGCCCCCGGGUUUGGUGUUGGGGAUCGGCUCUGCCCUUCUGGGCGGUGCCGCCCCCGAAAUACAUUGGCGGUCUCGCUGCAGCCUCCAUUGCGUAGUAGCUAACACCUCGCGACUGGAGAGCGGCGCGGCCACGCCGUAAAACACCCAACUCUUCUGAAGUUGACCUCGAAUCAGGUAGGAAUACCCGCUGAACUUAAGCAUAUCAAUAAGCGGAGGA
rnacentral:misc_RNA from 1 species